rnacentral:rRNA from 1 species
GCUAAUACUGGAUAUAUUGUUUACCGCAUGGUGGACAAGGAAAGUUGGUGUAAGCUAACGCAUAUGGAUGGUCUCGCGUCUGAUUAGCUAGUUGGUGGGGUAAAGGCUCACCAAGGCUACGAUCAGUAGCCGGUCUGAGAGGGUGGCCGGCCACACUGGGACUGAGACACGGCCCAGACUCCUACGGGAGGCAGCAGUGGGGAAUUUUGCACAAUGGGGGCAACCCUGAUGCAGCGACGCCGCGUGAACGAGGAAGGCCUUCGGGUCGUAAAGUUCUUUCGACGGGGACGAAAUGUUAUACGAGUAACUGCGUAUAAUUUGACGGUACCUGUAGAAGCAGCCCCGGCUAACUACGUGCCAGCAGCCGCGGUAAAACGUAGGGGGCAAGCGUUGUCCGGAAUUACUGGGCGUAAAGGGCGUGUAGGCGGCGAUGCAAGUCAGGAGUGAAACCCAGCGGCUCAACCGCUGGCU